rnacentral:lncRNA from 1 species
GAGCAACUGGAGGCUCUUGGAAGAGCAAUAGUUGCUGGCAAGGUAUGUCGUGGUGGUGCUGUUUUUAACUUUCCAAUUUUGAUGAAAAUGUUCAGGCUUCAUAUUUAUUAAUCGGAAACAUAUACUGAAGAACCUUUUUCAUAAGUUGUCUUAUAUACCAAAGAUCUACUGUUUGAAAUAGAAGUUAACUCUCCUUGCUUGGAUCAAUUUGUAAGAAAUAAGCAUUGUUUUGCAUUAGGUUUGGGUCAAGCCGUACUUAGAUCAGCUAACUCUCCUUGCUUGGAUCAUCUGUAAAAGCAUAUGACUACAAUCACUAUAACAUUUUCGUCGAACAGUCUGGUCGUUGGAUUAUAAUCUAAAUUAUAUAAUCCAGAUUAUAAUCUACUAUAUGUAGCAGUUUGGUAGUCUAGAUUAUAUAAAUGUAAAUUAUAAUUUACUUAUUGUAAUUAUCACUUGUCUUGCAGAUAGGCAAUUGAAAAUGAGAAUUGAUCUUUUUUAUGGGCGAAGUGUUGAAGAUGGCUUUGGUGAAGGAAAUGUCUUGUUAGCAUCAAGUAAGUGGCGACAUCACAACCCCUACAAGCUUGUGCCUUAAAACAAGAGGAUACAAGAAGUUGGAGUGCUUUUGUGAAGGCUUUUGCGAAUCACUUGAAGCGUUAGUACUUUUGUGAAUGAUUUUGUAAAGUGUUUGCAAAUAUGUGCAAAACAUAAUAACAUGUGUAGGUUUUGUGAAUGAUUUUGUUGUGGUGCUUGUUGAUGGUUUAUGUGAUGUGGAUCUAUCAUUGUGCAAUACUAAUUAAAUUUGUAUAUCUAUGUGAUUAUGUGUAUAAAAAUUGGUGAUUUGUGAUGC